rnacentral:tRNA from 1 species
ACCUACUUGAUUCAGCGGUUAGAGUAUCACUUUCAUGCUAAGAUAGUCAUUGGAUCAAAUCCAAUAGUAGGUA